UACGAAGGGUGCAAGCGUUACUCGGAAUUACUGGGCGUAAAGCGUGCGUAGGCGGUUUGUUAAGUCCGUUGUGAAAGCCCUGGGCUCAACCUGGGAAUUGCAGUGGAUACUGGCGAGCUAGAGUGCGGUAGAGGAUGGUGGAAUUCCCGGUGUAGCGGUGAAAUGCGUAGAGAUCGGGAGGAACACCCGUGGCGAAGGCGGCCAUCUGGACCAGCACUGACGCUGAGGCACGAAAGCGUGGGGAGCAAACAGGG
rnacentral:rRNA from 1 species